rnacentral:rRNA from 1 species
AACGAACGCUGGCGGCAUGCCUAACACAUGCAAGUCGAACGAGACCUUCGGGUCUAGUGGCGCACGGGUGCGUAACGCGUGGGAACCUGCCCUUAGGUUCGGAAUAACUCCCCGAAAGGGGUGCUAAUACCGGAUAAUGUCUUCGGACCAAAGAUUUAUCGCCUUUGGAUGGGCCCGCGUUGGAUUAGCUAGUUGGUAGGGUAAAGGCCUACCAAGGCGACGAUCCAUAGCUGGUCUGAGAGGAUGAUCAGCCACACUGGGACUGAGACACGGCCCAGACUCCUACGGGAGGCAGCAGUGGGGAAUAUUGGACAAUGGGCGAAAGCCUGAUCCAGCAAGGCCGCGUGAGUGAUGAAGGCCUUAGGGUUGUAAAGCUCUUUUACCCGGGAUGAUAAUGACAGUACCGGGAGAAUAAGCUCCGGCUAACUCCGU